GGCGGUGCUGCUGCGUGCGGCCGGCGGUGGGAAGGUCAGCGGUGGCGGUCGAGUGAGCUGCUGCUAUUGGAGUCCUGAGACGUUUUGUACCUUUAUUUUUUCACUUAUUCAUUUAUUUAAUAGUCGUUGUGUUUGUUUUUUGUUUUUUUUCUCCCGUAGACGACUGUAGAAGCGGGCGGCCCGGCAGCCUUUGGAGAGCAUCAGAUAUGGCAAAGAGCCCAGAUCACCUGGCGGCAGCUGAGCCACGAGCAGGAAGGCGCUUGCUGUGUUAGGAAGUCACGUUUGGGCUGAACUAUGAACCGUGAUCCUUGUUGUAGGUGCUUGGAAGUCCUUUGAGAACCAUGAGAACAGCAGCCAACUGCAGAGAGAAACAGGCUCACCCGUCCAAACACACGACCAGCUUUGCUGCGGAUCAGUUCCAGGCUAUCAGGGUUCUUCUUCUGAGGCAUCAGGCUGCU